GGCGUGGCAUCCUGUAAGUCGCUCUGGAUAAGAGUGUCUGCUAAAUGGCGUAAA
rfam:Salmo salar isolate Sally breed double haploid chromosome ssa08, whole genome shotgun sequence.